AGCAAAAUCCUUUGUCUUGAAGAAAAAAAAAAUCAGAAUUGAUUAAAGGUCAUCUCUUAUAACCACAGCCCCACUACUGUCAGCUGAAGUUUGUAGUUCUACAAUAGGAGAAUAUGUCCUGAGUCUAUGGAAAUUUAAAUGACUUAAUAAUAAAGAAAAAGAGAAAAGACCAAGAAAACUAGGUAUACCAGUUAAUCAGAUCUUUAAAAAAACUAUUAAAGAGAGUCGCGAGCGAGGGAGCCUGAGAUUGUACGACUGCACGAGCGAAGCAAUGCCUAAGUCAAAGGAACUUGUUUCUUCAAGCUCUUCUGGCAGUGAUUCUGACAGCGAAGUUGACAAAAAGUUAAAGAGGAAAAAGCAAGUUGCUCCAGAAAAACCUGUGAAGAAGCAAAAGACUGGUGAAACUUCAAGAGCUCUGUCAUCUUCCAAACAGAGCAGCAGCAGCAGAGAUGAUAACAUGUUUCAGAUUGGGAAAAUGAGGUAUGUUAGUGUUCGGGACUUUAAAGGGAAAGUUCUAAUUGAUAUUAGAGAAUAUUGGAUGGAUCCAGAAGGUGAAAUGAAACCAAGAAGAAAAGGUAUUUCUUUAAAUCCGGAGCAAUGGAGCCAGCUGAAGGAACAGAUUUCCGACAUUGAUGAUGCAGUAAGAAAACUGUAAAAUUCGAGCCAUAUAAAACCUGUACUGUUCUAGUUGUUUUAAUCUGUCUUUUUACAUUGGCUUUUGUUUUCUAAAUGUUGUUUUCCAAGCUAUUGUAUGUUUGGAUUGCAGAACAAUUUGUAAGAUGAAUACUUUUUUUAAUGUGCAUUAUUAAAAAUGUUCUGAGUGAAGCUAAUUGUCAUGUUUAUCAAGGAGGAUUGCUUUGUGCCCACCACCUAGUGUAAAAUAAAAUGGAAUAAUACAAUCUCAGCUGUUGUGGCCUUUUUUGAUCAGAAGAUACUGUUUAAGGCCCAAAGUAACAGUUUUAUAGACCUUUUAGUUUCAAUUCACCUUUUACAAUAAGAAGGAUUUGUGUUUAUAAACUUUUGGUUUGUGAAAUCCAUACUUGAUCUUUUCUCUUCCAACCAAAUUUUUAGACUUGUUUGACUUUUCCACUCCAAGGAUAUUUCACUCUUUUCUUUUUUACUUCAUUUUCUUUUAAUAACUUAACCUCUUCCAGUUUAGUUUUCAUUUUACUCUCUACUAUUUUCCUUGAAUAUAUUCUAAUUUGAAAAGUCAGUAAAACCAUCAAAAUAUUAUGUCAAUAAGGUUACUUAUAUGAGAACUACAAUCACUAAAUCUACUGUAUUAAAUAUUAGCAGAUAUAGUUUGAUAAGCAACAUAGCACGUAUGAAAACUCUGAGCAAGUGUAUGUCAUUACCCAUAGUGUUCUGUGUAGUUAUCUUAUUGCCUAGUCUGCAGAAAAUAAUGACUUAGGUGAGAUGUCUGAUUUGCUUUCACUUAUUAAACAUGUUCACCAUGGGAUGAUGUCUAUAAAAUCAAAUGUUAAACUAGACUAGGAUUUAAUAAAAAUUGUGAAAGCU